AUGUUUACGUCAUGAGGCGUUAUGCUGAACUCACAGCUUCCACAUUAAUGGUGAAUAUGGAGAUGGACAGCUUGAACUAAAUUUGGAACGUCUGAGAAUGGCUACUGAUGAUUUGCUUAUCAAGCUUUCCAAAACAUUCCCAAAACCAAAAUUCAAACCGCAUUUUUGAAAACAACUAUGAUAUGAAAAUUGCAGUGCCGAAGGUUGUAAGGCCUUUAUGAUGGUUAGUAUGAUCGGUUUCACAGUAACUUUCCGAAUAUAUUUAUCCUCCAGCCUCUUCUAUCUCACCUCUAGUAAUAUGAAUUUCUGGAAGCUGGUCCAGAGGGUGGGAAAAUUCAAAUGCACUUUGAGGAAGGAACUACUGAAAACCAACACUGCAUUAGUUGUGGUAAUAUACUGUCAAUAGUUUGAGGUCUGCAAUGUCCCAGCUGCUGCUUUGAUAUAAUAGCAUAUGAGAUUUAAAGCUAAAGCCGCUUUAGAGGCUUCUAGUACACAAUGACAUGCCUUUCUUUUU